GAAGACUUCGUGGAGCUGGGAGUCACACGCGUUGGCCACCGCAUGAACAUCGAGCGUGCGCUCAGGCAGCUGGAUGGCAGCUGACGCCCCUCUCCCUCUCCUGUUCCUGCUGCGCCCUGCCGGCAGGGCCCCCACCCCUACUCCAGGCCGCAGGCUCGGCUCGCCCCCUACCACGGCGCCCGGGCCAGGAAUGUUGCAUGAAUCGUCCUGUUUGCUGUUGCUUGGAGACUUGCCCUGUACAUUGCUUAGUGCCCUCCCCUGCCGCUGAACCCCACCCAGCACACAGUAAGGGCGCGGACCAGGGGGGCUGGGUGGAAGGGGGUUGGGGCAGGGUGCUCUGGCCUGACCACCUCCUCCACAGCUCCUGGUGGCCAUUCUUCCAGAGGGGGAACCUAGUCCAGCAUGCGAGGUCAGGACACGCCUUGGUGACUCGGGGGGAGGGGGGAGACAUUGGGGUUCUCGAUAGGGGCCAAGGAGCCCCCUGUUUUACAUAUUUUAAUCCACUCUAUAUUUGGAAAGAGAAAAGGAACAAAUAUCUCUGUCCGUAACAGUUCCCGCCCUCUUCCCCUCAAGUCCUCUCGCUGGUCCCGCCACAGCUACCCAGUCUUCCAUCUCCGGCCCCUCACUGCCACCCCAUAUAGGGCAGGGGACACUCCAGCUGGCCUGGGGUUAGCCAGGGUCCUGGCAGCCCACCCUGGGGACCCCGGCUCAGCCCCCUUCCCUCGCUGAGCUAUAGUAUGCCCCACCCACCCUUUAGGUGCUGCUCAGGGGGACGGGUGGCAGGCAUUGCCUGCUGGGCACUAGCAGGGCCAGGUGGCCUGGGAGAUUAUUGCCCUGGGGCUGGGCCCCGGUAACCCAACCCCAGCCAUCAUCUUCACAGGGUCUCUCCCAAAGGAGGGGUCUAACCUUUCCCCACUUCUUGGGCAACUACAGCAGAGAAGCCUCCCUGCCUCGCGCCCCAAAGACUCCCCAAUUCCUGCCCUGUGUGUGUGCACCACAUGUGUGUGUGCACGCCUGCGUGCUUGUGAAAAUUGGGUGUGGCUGAGCGCAUGGGUGCCCUGUAUGUGCUUGAUUGUGGAGUGGUCCCCAGGGGCUGUUCUGGAUGGGUGGGAGGUUGAGGAAGCUUGCACAGGGGUGCAUGCAUGGGUGUGUGCCUGUGAAAGGGCCCUGUCUUCUCCAAAGAAAGGCUGUCCUGCUCUUGGGUCCUGCUGUUUUCUCAGCCUGUUCUCCCUGAACCUCACCCAGCUUAAGCAGGGGUUCUUGGUGAAUCCUUUCAGCUUUGGGAGGCCUCAAGGGCUCCCGUGCAGGCAGCACCCCUUUGGGCUUCUAAGGGAAUUGUGGGGACCACUAAAAUCAGGCCACAACAGCCCUUGGAGAGAGGCAAAGACUCCUGAGGGUACCCUGGCCCCCCUUACUGUGACUCCUCACAACUCAGCAAUGACCUGUGGGGCGGGGGGCCCUGGGGCAUUUUUAAACAUAGGGUUUGGAGUCUGGACUAAGCUCCAUCCACGUCACUCACAAGUUUCUGUUUCUAUUUCUAGCUUUUUUUAAUAAAAUAUAUAUAUAUAUAUAUAAAAAAGACAGAAAACAGGUGUUUUCAUGGCCCAGGGGCUUGGCACGCCGGUCUGUGCCCACCCGCCCCGCCCCACCCUGGCCCACCGGCCCCAUUCCUUAGACACAGAGUCACGCCCACUAACCCUCUUACCAACAGAGCAGGUCACACACACAGCAGCGGUCACUGUAACAGACUGCCACAUACACAGUCUCACAUUUACCUGUGGGUUUUUGGUUCUGUUCAGUUUGGGUUUUUAACUUUACAGGGUCAGUUCCGCUUCAUCCCCCUUUUGUAUGGAGUUCCAUCUCGGGGCUUUCAACCCCCUGCUCCAGUCCUGAGGCCUCCUGACCCUGACGUUGUGAUACACCCCACAGAGAUCUAUGUUUCUUAUAUUAUUAUUAUUAAUAAUAAUUAUUAUAAUAUUAUGUAAUAAAUUUAUAAGAAAUGAAA
rnacentral:lncRNA from 1 species